rnacentral:tRNA from 1 species
CUGUCUGUGCGUGACGCGCGACGAGCGCUGGGGGCGCUCGUACGAGGCGUUCGGCGAGGACCCGGCACUGGUCACCGCGAUGGAGACGGUC